ACAAUCUUGCCGCGAUGUGGUGGCUUUAGUGUUGGCUGUGGUUCUUUUGCAUUGCAAAUACACUCGGCAUAAGCCCUUUGUAUUUGGAAGACACUGAACUCAAAAGCCUUCAUGACCAAAGGUUAUCCCUCCUAUCCUCAAUUCCCAAUUUUCCUAUAAACAAUCCCGUCUCCUCCCCAUCCCCAUCCCCCACUUGUAAGGUUAAGGUGGUUGGUAGCAGUGCCGAGAAUCUGAAUGGCUAAUCAGUGGUUAAAGAAGAUUAGUCGCUAACAGCUCCCCUCCGGUGCCACGACACGGGCCGGUUGUAAAUCCUAGUCUAGUCCAUGUACGCCGUCACUGCAUGGAUCGUCUCUUCCCUUACGUGCCUACUCGUGGGACCAACAUAUGGAAACUAACACAGAAAAAAAACAAAAACAACGAAGAAAGGAUGAGAUUGGAUCCUCAUCCGAGGACGAACUUCUCGCCUCUAGUCAAGAGACGGUAGUGAGUCCUUCAGGUAGUGGGAAUGAAAGACAUAGCACUCUCCUACCCUCAAAAAGCCCGACAAAUACUCCUCAAUCCGACGCCAAGGCUGGCGACAAUUCGAGGAAAAAAAGGCCAAAAAGGAAAAGUCAGAAAGACAUCCUCAAAGCUAGAUAUACCAAGGCUGUUUUCAUUCUCGACAAGAUUGCCAAGAAUGCUGCUAAUGGUACACCUCAUGAACGCGAUGAAGAUGAUCGCGUCAAAUAUCAAGCUGUGGUGGAUGAGUACCAAAAGUUUUUGGAGACCGCACCCAGCACAUCCAAAAUGGCUGCUGAAACCGAAAGGUCCAAGCGAAACCGCUCACAGGUUGAGGAUGGUAAAUCGCCAAAAAGGAGGAAGGUAAUAGAAGGCAAAACCACUCCGGGACCUGUAGCCAUCACGACAACUGCCAGAAGACCAUUUAACGAAGUGGUGAAGGACCACCUCCUAAUGGCUCUGGUUACUGAAAAAGAUGGGGCCAUCAACCCUGUAGUAACAGAAUGGGGUGCCAUUGAGUCUAAAUUAACUGAGCUCGUUAUGGAACACUUGCUCACUAACAAAGACGACAAGGUACCCCGUUUUGACUCCAGUGAGAUUCACCGGGGAUACAGGGUGAUCAAAUGCCUGGACGAAUUCUCAAAGGGGUUCCUCAACAAAUGCAUCACUAAGAUUAGAGAUGCAUGGGUAGGUUUAAGCCUUAAACUAAUCCCUGCUGAGGAAAUUCCAAUGAGACCUCGUGCAAGAGUUUGGUUACCAAAGAUGAGCGCCGAAGCACCCAAGAUGUUGGAAUGCCUCAAACGGCAGAAUCCCAACAUACACAUGAAUGACUGGGCUAUCAUCCGCACAGAACAAGGCGAAGGGCACACAUGUCUAAUUCUCGCCAUCACAGAAGCUGGCUCCGUUGAGCUGGAGAAGGUGGGCUUUAGGCUGUUCUUGGGGUGAGGGGCGCCAAAGUAAAGGUGUUCCGGCCGACAAAAUCGGGGAGUGAAGAGACGGAUGAGAUGGAAGCUGCCAACUCUCUGCUCACUGGCAUGAAACUCUCCGAGCCACCUAUUAAACCUGACAAUGGCACUAAAGAUAGUGCAAAUUAAUCUGAAGCACUCAAAGUGUGCUUCAGACAAUCUACGGGUUCUCCUAGCCGAGGAAAACCUGGACAUUUGCCUGGUUCAAGAACCCUGGGUCACGGACUCAGAAGUUAAAGGGUUCCCAGCAUCUACAUACAACAUACUAUAUGCAAGAAGUAAUGCUUAGCUCAGAAGACCUAACAGUCGCAAAGGUCGAGCUACCGCACAACAGAAGCUUCAUGAUUGCCUCAAGCUAUAUGGCACACGAGAAGACAGCACCACCAGACGAAGUGAGCGAUCUCCUGGCCGUAAUUGAGACAUCUGACGACAUAAUCCUAGGCUGUGAUGCCAAUGCAAGGCAUACAAUCUGGGGUAGCAGCGAAACUAAUGAAAGGGAUAAAAAAUGCAACCCUGCAAAUGGCCAUGACUACACAAAUGGGUAAAAAGUGUAUUUCCCCGUGUUAAAUUAAAAAAGUCCUUCGUGCAAAUACAGGGUAAAGUGAAAACGGAAUUUAAUGUCAAACGACAUAAAAAAUUAUAAAGAAAAAAUCCUUUUCUAUAUAGGGAUUUUCUUCAGUUUUACAUUGGCGUUCAAGAAUCAAGUUAUCAAGAAUCAAGUUAUUCUAGAACAUAUAUAUAUCAAAUAAAACCUUUAAUUAUGGCAAAUAUUCCCAAAUUACACCAGGAAUUCCGAGAUGUCAUUAAAAGAACCGAAACUGUCAUGAACGAAUUCAUCGAUAUUAUGAAAAGCAAACAACCGAUGCCGUUGGUAUUAUAUUCAUUACAAAAAUUAUUGAUAAAGUUCUGGGAAUUUGAUUUGCUUUUAAUGAUGUUAUUUCGAAAAGUCAUUGAAUUAUCUAUAAAACUAGAGGAAAAAUCUAAAUCUGGAACAGAUACUGCGGAGCAAAUCAUGUAUUUACAGCACUUCAAACGUUUUGCGGAUCGCAUGCAUGAGGAUCAUUGCGAUUUCCAUGAACAUUGUGUGAAAAAGUUGUCGGGUAUCGACAAUUUAGUGGUCGGUCUUCAGUUAAUAAAUAUGGAAAAUUUUUUAAUACCUAAAUUGCUUUAAGUAUAAUUUUCUACAUUAUUUUGUAUUAUUUUUGUAUUUUAAGAAAAAAGUUUUUAAUGAAAUAAAAUGAAUUGUUU